UCUGCCCUACUGGCGCUUCAGAUCGGGUUGCACAGUCCCAGAGGGUUAAACUGUCUUAGCCUAGCCCUAGAGCAUCAGGUCGUAAGUGGAGUGCGAAGUUACCGGCAGGACAUUUUUAAACUGGAGGCAAACUCCAGUGUCGCCUGCACAAACGUAACCAGCCUAUGUUCCCGAAUUUUGGAGUUUAACACAUCACUUGAGAUCAGAGUGAAAUUAAGUUUCAGUCCCUUUGAGAUCUCGGAGCACACAAUGUGUUAUUCCAAGGGGUUGAAGAGUGCGAAUCUAGCUGGGAAAAAAACUAUUUGGUGCGGAAAUUCGUGUCUUUUCCGCCCACCAUUGGGGGCCGCAUCGAUCCGGUCCGGCGCGAUGCCCUGGCGUGAGUUUGGGGGCGCAACGGGACCCGGAGGGGGCGGCGAGCGCGCGUUCCCCCGCCCGCUCGGGCGGCGUCGAGGCGCGAGCAGCUCAGCCAGCCUUGCAGAGGGAGCUCUCGGCAGUUCAGGGGUCCCUCUGCUCGCAGCCACAGCAGCGCCGCCUGCGCCACUCGGCGGCGACGGAGACCAGCGGCGGCGAUGAUCGGACUCGGAGGAACUAGAGAGCACCCCAGCUGCUGGAGAAGCACUCGGCGGCCGGCUUUGAAUGCAUGAGAAAAGAAGAGUGAGAAACAAGAAGAAAAGAUAAGGUUGGAAGAGGGCGAGGAAAGGAGAGGAAUGGAAGGAAACUCCUGCAGCUACCAACACAAUAAAUUGUGUCCUGAACCACCUCAGCCUGGCCCUUUCUCUGCAGUUUCCUCUGCAGUGCUUUGAAGACGAUGAAUAAGACAUGACUGACCUAGGUGGUCUUAAAUGACGGAACCCAUCAGCAUGUUACAGGCCUUGGAAGCCCAUUUCCAUUUGCCCCCUCUAGGUGCACACUUUCCUUGCCAACACCUGGGACUCUUGAUAAUAUCACCAACCUCCCCCCACCUGGGACAGCAGGCUCCCAACUGUCCUGGAUCUGAACUGGAAGAACAAAUGUCUCCCCAGCCUGCAGGACAGCAGGGUAGGAAGUAAAAGCAGUGCCCCAUGUGUGCCUCCCACUGUUGACAGAACGAGACCUACUGUCAGGCUAGGAGACCAGCCAGCCUGACUUGAGUCAGGCUGUGAAUUGAGAGGAGAGGGCAAGUGGUUGUCGUGUGGUUGAUCCACACUGCUUCAAGCCCAAAAGUCUUGAAGGGCAAAGGCCUGAGGGUUUUUUCCUGACCUUGGUAGUUCUUCUCCUGGCUGUGCUCUGAUUCUAGCUCCUCUCCACUACCUCACUCUUCCUCAGCUAGGACAGACGCCUAGGCUCUGGCCCUAGUACCCUCCUUGUAGAAGGCAGAGGGGUCUUGUUCCUUCUGUUUUCAGGGAUGGAUAGUGACAGACUGGAAUAAUGACAUCUUCCCACCCUGUAUUUCUUGUCGGGCACUGUCCGUGGUUUGUGCUCUGAGGAUGUUCUGGUCCAGUCACUGCCUUCACUUUCCUACUCCCUGCUCAGCCAAGGUUCAACUCUACUCUCUCCCCACCACUCACAACAAUGCUGCCUACAGGGAGUCUAUUGGUAGUUCUGGGACUGCCUCCAAACUGUGACCCGUUAUAGGAGGUGGUGUGAUCUGUCACCUGAUUGUGUUAUCUACUCCAUUUUACCCCAGCUGACCAACCAAAAAGCUGAACUGCCCUAUCCUGCCCAGCCAUGCCAGUGUAUAAGGGCUGUCUGUGUGCGCCUUACCCCACCCCCACCAGACUAUAGCAAACCGCCAGUAUCCACUCA